UGGGGAAUUUUGGACAAUGGGCGAAAGCCUGAUCCAGCAAUGCCGCGUGUGUGAAGAAGGCCUUCGGGUUGUAAAGCACUUUUGUCCGGAAAGAAAUCCUUGGCUCUAAUACAGUCGGGGGAUGACGGUACCGGAAGAAUAAGCACCGGCUAACUACGUGCCAGCAGCCGCGGUAAUACGUAGGGUGCAAGCGUUAAUCGGAAUUACUGGGCGUAAAGCGUGCGCAGGCGGUUUGCUAAGACCGAUGUGAAAUCCCCGGGCUCAACCUGGGAACUGCAUUGGUGACUGGCAGGCUAGAGUAUGGCAGAGGGGGGUAGAAUUCCACGUGUAGCAGUGAAAUGCGUAGAGAUGUGGAGGAAUACCGAUGGCGAAGGCAGCCCCCUGGGCCAAUACUGACGCUCAUGCACGAAAGCGUGGGGAGCAAAACAGGAUUAGAUACCCUGGUAGUCCACGCCCUAAACGAUGUCAACUAGUUGUUGGGGAUUCAUUUCCUUAGUAACGUAGCUAACGCGUGAAGUUGACCGCCUGGGGAGUACGGUCGCAAGAUUAAAACUCAAAGAAAUUGACGGGGUCAUAGCUGUUUCCU
rnacentral:rRNA from 1 species